rnacentral:rRNA from 1 species
CUACGGGGGGUGCAAGCGUUAUUCGGAUUUAUUGGGCGUAAAGGGCGCGUAGGCGGCUUGGAAAGUCAGAUGUGAAAGCCCGGGGCUCAACCCCGGAAGUGCAUUUGAAACUAUCAGGCUUGAGUAUGGGAGAGGGAAGUGGAAUUCCUGGUGUAGAGGUGAAAUUCGUAGAUAUCAGGAGGAACACCGGUGGCGAAGGCGACUUCCUGGACCAAUACUGACGCUGAGGCGCGAAGGCGUGGGGAGCAAACAGGAUUAGAAACCCCGGUAGUCC